AGGAUGAACGCUGGCGGCGUGCCUAAUACAUGCAAGUCGAGCGGUAAGGCCCCUUCGGGGGUACACGAGCGGCGGACGGCUGAGUAACACGUAGGAACGUACCCAAAGUGAGGGAUAAGCACCAGAAAUGGUGUCUAAUACCGCAUGUGCUCUUCGGAGGAAAGCUUCGGCGCUUUGGGAACGGCCUGCGCAUGAUUAGCUUGUUGGUGAGGUAAUGGCUCACCAAGGCGACGAUCAUUAGCUGGUCUGAGAGGAUGAUCAGCCAGACUGGGACUGAGAACGGCCCAGACUCCUACGGGAGGCAGCAGUAGGGAAUUUUCCACAAUGGGCGAAAGCCUGAUGGAGCAACGCCGCGUGCAGGAUGAAUGCCUUCGGGUUGUAAACUGCUUUUAUAUGUGACGAAUAUGACGGUAGCAUAUGAAUAAGGAUCGGCUAACUCCGUGCCAGCAGCCGC
rnacentral:rRNA from 1 species